rnacentral:tRNA from 1 species
AGGAAUUUAGGCUAAUAUUAGACCGAGAGCCUUCAAAGCUCUAAGUAAGCACCUAUGCUUAAUUCCUG